ACUUAGUCUACCAACAAUGCCCAUGACGCCACACGCACCAAGUCCGAUCUCUGCUCCGCUCGGGAUCUUUUAUAGAGGGGGCACAGAGGAGCAGGGGAGAAAGGAGGCGGCCGAGGGUAGGGACGGGAAGGAGAGGAGGCGGCAAGGGGUAGUCGGCGGUGGCGGCGGCACGGUCGGGGCGUGGUGGCAGAAAGCGCAACCGAAGAGGAAAGGGGUUCGGCGACGAUAGGACGAGCAGUGCAACUGACGGCUGCUAUCCUCCUCUGGGCCCCCUCGUCUCCUCCCUCCACCUGCUGCCCCACUCCUCCGUGCUCCCACUCGUCCUCCACCCCCAGUCUCCUACGUCGCCGCGACCCAAGAGAGGGGUGCGGUGGUACAGCAAACAAGAAGGAGGGAUUCCAAGUCUAGACUUCGCCCUCUCUGUGUGCACGUUUCACCGUCUUCUCCCUUGUCCCACUCCCAACACUACCCUUGCGGUCCUGCUGCCGCUCUUCACCUAGAGACUCGACCGACGGCCAGGAGAGUCCAUGUUCUAAAGUGAGGUACGGUAUCUGCACGUUGUACUACCACAUUGUAUGGUUUCAAUAACCCGGCACACUUGACACGUCCAAGCCCUCUGUUCCUUCCUUGGUCUACGAGGGUUUCAAGAAGACCAACUCAGCUAAUGAAUGAUCGUUACUAUAAGUGUUACCCUUCGGAAAUAUCGUCCGAUGAAACUAACUAAGGGUUUGAUACCGAAUCAAUGUUUAUAAAACCACCACUACAAAGUAUGUGGUCAGGUCACAACGAUGGGUUACUACUCAACAUACUUCGUGAAACUUUACGAAACUUCUUUCAGAAAAUCCACCACCAAGAUGACGACGAUGAAGACACUGUCGGUUCCGCAUCCAACGUCGAGCGUCUCGAAAUUCCUCCUUUCCUUCUGUACUAAAGAAGAACUUCUCCGGAAGUUCACGUACACCUUCACAUCGUACGUUCGUAAUACGCUGUUACUGUGUGACGAAUAGCAUGCGAGUGUGGGAGAUUUCUGGUGUUAGUCUGAUUCUUCUACGAAUUUAUUCGACAUUUGGUUAUAUUCAGUAAGAUGAUAUAUAUAGACAUGAUAAUAGACAUUAUGUUAGGUGUAACGUAAUAUAAAGGUCGAUGUAGAGGAU
rnacentral:rRNA from 1 species